CGGGCGGUAGCUCAGCUUGGUAGAGCUUCCGAGUCAGCACCGGAUUGUCGCAGGUUCAAAUCCUGCCCGCCCGACCA
rnacentral:tRNA from 1 species